rnacentral:tRNA from 1 species
GGGGACGUAGUAUAACUUGGCUAGAAUAGGUGGCUCCAGACCACCGGAUCUGGGUUCAAAUCCCAGCGUCCCCA